CAGGUCUACCGAUUGGUAGCUGAUUCUGAGAGAUGAUACGCAACUGACUGAACCGUCAAUUCCUACGGAAGCAGCAGUGGGAUAUUGCGCAUGGGGAAAUCUGACGCAGCGACGCGUGUGAGGAGAGCUUUCGGGUCGUAAACUCGUCGGGAGGGAGACUUCAGUCUGAUAAGCCUGGAACUGACGUACUCAAAGAAGCACGGCUAACUCCGUGCCAGCAGCCGCGGUAAUACGUAGGGGGCUAGCGUUGUCCGGAUUCACUGGGUGUAAAGGGCGCGUAGGCGGGAUAGCAAGUCAGUGGUGAAAUCUUGCAGCUCAACUGCAAAACUGCCAUUGAUACUGCUGUUCUUGAAUGUGGAAGAGAGAGGCGGAAUUCCAGGUGUAGUAGUGAAAUACGUAGAUAUCUGGAAGAACACCAAUUGCGAAGGCUGCUUCUUGGUCCAUUAUUGACGCUGAGGCGCGAAAGCGUGGGGAGCAAACAGGAUUAGAUACCCUGGUAGUCCACGCUGUAAACGAUGAGUGCUAGAUGCCGGAUUUUUUCGGUGUCGCAGCUAACGCAUUAAGCACUCCACCUGGGAAGUACGAUCGCAAGGUUGAAACUCAAAGGAAUUGACGGGGGCCCGCACAAGCGGUGGAGCAUGUGGUUUAAUUCGAUGAUACGCGAGGAACCUUACCUGGGCUUAAAUGUAGAACGCUUUUUGCUGAAAGGCAAUUUUCCUUCGGGACGUUUUGCAAGGUGCUGCAUGGUUGUCGUCAGCUCGUGCCGUGAGGUGUCGGGUUAAGUCCCAUAACGAGCGCAACCCUUAUCAUUAGUUGCCAACAGGUAAUGCUGGGGACUCUAAUGAAACUGCCUACGCAAGUAGUGAGGAAGGUGGGGAUGACGUCAAAUCAGCACGGCCCUUAUGUCCAGGGCUACACACGUGCUACAAUGGUCAGUACAAAGGGCAGCUACCUGGUGACAGGAUGCUAAUCUCAAAAUCUGAUCUCAGUUCGGAUCGAAGUCUGCAACUCGACUUCGUGAAGCUGGAAUCGCUAGUAAUCGCGCAUCAGCCAUGGCGCGGUGAAUACGUUCCCGGGCCUUGUACACACCGCCCGUCAAGCCAUGGAAGCUGGGGGUACCUAAAGUUCGUGACCGCAAGGAGCGACCUAGGGUAAAACCGGUGACUGGGGCUAAGUCGUAACAAGGUAGCCGU
rnacentral:rRNA from 1 species